rnacentral:rRNA from 1 species
UACGUAGGGGGCGAGCGUUAUCCGGAAUUAUUGGGCGUAAAGAGUACGUAGGCGGUUCUGUAAGCGUGAGGUGAAAGCCCGGGGCUUAACUCCGGUAAGCCUUUCGAACUGCAGGACUUGAGUGCUGGAGGGGAAAGUGGAAUUCCUAGUGUAGCGGUGAAAUGCGUAGAUAUUAGGAGGAACACCAGUGGCGAAGGCGACUUUCUGGACAGUAACUGACGCUGAGGUACGAAAGCGUGGGGAGCAAACA